rnacentral:rRNA from 1 species
CCUACGGGUGGCAGCAGUGAGGAAUAUUGGUCAAUGGACGAGAGUCUGAACCAGCCAAGUAGCGUGAAGAAUGACUGCCCUAUGGGUUGUAAACUUCUUUUAUAUGGGAAUAAAAUGUUCCACGUGUGGGAUUUUGUAUGUACCCUAUGAAUAAGGAUCGGCUAACUCCGUGCCAGCAGCCGCGGUAAUACGGAGGAUCCGAGCGUUAUCCGGAUUUAUUGGGUUUAAAGGGAGCGUAGGUGGAUUGUUAAGUCAGUUGUGAAAGUUUGCGGCUCAACCGUAAAAUUGCAGUUGAAACUGGCAGUCUUGAGUACAGUAGAGGUGGGCGGAAUUCGUGGUGUAGCGGUGAAAUGCUUAGAUAUCACGAAGAACUCCGAUUGCGAAGGCAGUUCACUGGACUGCAACUGACACUGAGGCUCGAAAGUGUGGGUAUCAAACAGGAUUAGAUACCCCUGUAGUC